rnacentral:rRNA from 1 species
GAUGAACGCUGGCGGUAUGCUUAACACAUGCAAGUCGAACGGACUCUUCGGAGUUAGUGGCGGCCGGGUGAGUAACGCGUGAGAAUCUGGAUUUGGGUUCGGGACAACCACUGGACACGGUGGCUAAUACCGGAUGUGACGAGAGGCAAGAGAGUAAUUGCCUGAAGAUGAGCUCGCGUCUGAUUAGCUAGUUGGUGAGGUAAAGACACACCAUGGCAGCGCGCAGUAGCUGGUCUGAGAGGAGGACCAGCCACGCCUGGACUGGGAAACGGCCCAGACUCCUCCGGCGGGCAGCACUGGGGAAUUAUCCGGAAUGGGCGAGAGCGUGACGGAGCAAUACCGCGUGAGGGAAGAAGGCUCUAGGGUUGUAAACCUCUUUACUUAGGUAAGAACAAAAUGACGGUACCUAAUGAAACAGCAUCGGCUAGCUCCGUG